rnacentral:rRNA from 1 species
GACGAACGCUGGCGGCGUGCCUAACACACGCAAGUCGAGCGAGUGAAUCUCCUUCGGGAGUGAAACUAGCGGCGGACGGGUGAGUAACACGUGGGCAACCUGCCUCAUAGAGGGGAAUAGCCUUUCGAAAGGAAGAUUAAUACCGCAUAAGAUUGUAGCUUCGCAUGAAGUAGCAAUUAAAGGAGUAAUCCGCUAUGAGAUGGGCCCGCGGCGCAUUAGCUAGUUGGUGAGGUAACGGCUCACCAAGGCGACGAUGCGUAGCCGACCUGAGAGGGUGAUCGGCCACAUUGGGACUGAGACACGGCCCAGACUCCUACGGGAGGCAGCAGUGGGGAAUAUUGCACAAUGGGGGAAACCCUGAUGCAGCAACGCCGCGUGAGUGAUGACGGCCUUCGGGUUGUAAAACUCUGUCUUCAGGGACGAUAAUGACGGUACCUGAGGAGGAAGCCACGGCUAACUACGUGCCAGCCGCCGCCGUAA